rnacentral:ncRNA from 1 species
CACCACUGGAAAGAGCUGCGCAUGCAGCCGCCGAAGGAGAAAAGCAGACCGAAGCAACGCCACCUGUGGGGUCCUAUAAAUCUAGAGGGCUCUCUAUGCAGGGGUAAACACAGCGCGUUGGUGAGGCUGCCGAAGCUCUCAGGUACAGGAGACAGUGCGGG